UCGCCUACACGAAGUCGGAAUCGCUAGUAAUCGCGGAUCAGCAUGCCGCGGUGAAUACGUUCCCGGGCCUUGUACACACCGCCCGUCACACCAUGAGAGUUUGUAACACCCAAAGCCGGUGGGGUAACCUUUUAGGAGCUAGCCGUCUAAGGUGGGACAGAUGAUUAGGGUGAAGUCGUAACAAGGUAGCCGUAGGAGAACCUGCGGCUGGAUCACCUCCUUUCUAAGGAA
rnacentral:rRNA from 1 species